CACAAAAGAUUAAAACUUAUACGCCUCUUCCCCCACGAUCUCCACUUCGCAUUAAUUCCCUCAAUUAUGGAACAACAAGCUGAUUUCAUACAAAAAGCUCUCAAUCUCUUCCUUUCCUUAUCCCUCUUUCUGACGUUGGACGAAGAUGGGUGGAUGGUGAAAACUGAAAACGAUGAAAGGUGAGGCUUACUCUUCGGCGAGGGAGUUCACCAAGAUGAUGGUUCAUCAAUGAUGCGCGAUGUUAACUUCUCAAUUGACGGAUAUCGUUAAAUCAUAAACUUACUUUGGCCCACCUAAACGCCUGUAUACUAUGGUUUAGUGAAUAUAGAAUGAUGAGAGUAUGAAGAAAAUUCAAAGUGAAAUAUAGGAAUAAAGAAGAGAAGCGAAACAAAGAAAAAAGACACCAAGCUACAAAACAAGACAGAUGGAAUCUACUGUAAAGUAUAAUUCUUGCAAAACCAUGAACGUUUGUAUUAUUUUUCUAUUCUUCGAUGAUUCUCAUUCUAUCACAAUUGUCUGUACCCGUGCAUAGCACGGGCUCAACACUAGUGUUUAAUAAUUCCGAUUUGAGCA